rnacentral:sRNA from 1 species
AAAUAUAUCAUUAAGCAAUCAAUUAGAAGUUGAAGAGCUUACAUUAAUUAUUUAAUAGAUACAUGCCAAAUGCUAAAGUGAUGAUUUGUCAAUCAUAUGGAGAGAGUUGAGUACCUUUCAUAUAUAUGAUUAGAGUCACCUAUUUGUUUGUUUCAUUGUA